GACGAACCGUGCGAACGUUAUUCGGAAUCACUGGGCUUAAAGGGCGCGUAGGCGGGUUCUCAAGUCAGGGGUGAAAUCCCGCGGCUCAACCGUGGAAGUGCCUUUGAUACUGGGGACCUCGAGGGAGGUAGGGGCGUGCGGAACUUCCGGUGGAGCGGUGAAAUGCGUAGAUAUCGGAAGGAACACCGGUGGCGAAAGCGGCGCGCUGGACCUCUUCUGACGCUGAGGCGCGAAAGCCAGGGGAGCAAACGGGG
rnacentral:rRNA from 1 species